AGCGGCCCCACCUUCCUUCUGCAAAUGCAUUCUUCAAUUCUAGAAGGAAAUCAUAAGCGACUUGCCCGGGGAGGAUUGCUCAUGAGGCUGGAUGUUUGUCCCAUCCUCUACCAGGCCUCAACAUCUUCUGAAGGCAAGAGCCUGGAGGGUCAGCCCUGGAUCCAGGAACCCUAAAACUGUACAAGUCUUAGGCUUCAGGGAACUUGGAGCCAUUUCUGACAAUGCUUAGGAUUGCUCUCAGGAUGAAAUGAGCUAAUUCACAUUGAGUGUGGGGCACCCGGUACACACCAGAGGAGUGUCAGCUGUUCUCAUUAUGUGAAGGGAAAAACAUCAGGCAGAGGCAAGAAGACUAGACAGGAAAAUUCUGAGAAGGGGGCGAACCAACAGGGAGCAGCUCAGCCUUUCUCUGUGGCACUGGGGAUCGAAGAGAGGAAGAAAUGCCUAUUCAACCCAACACCUGACUUA